rnacentral:tRNA from 3 species
CCGGCUGUAGCGCAGUUUGGUAGCGCGCUUGCUUCGGGAGCAAGAGGUCCCCGGUUCAAAUCCGGGCAGCCGGACCA